GACGAACGCUGGCGGCGUGCUUAACACAUGCAAGUCGAACGAAGUGGCGAACGGGUGAGUAACGCGUAAUCAACCUGCCCUUCAGCGGGGGACAACAGUUGGAAACGACUGCUAAUACCGCAUACGGAAGGAGGGGAUUGCGUGUGAUUGGCUAGUUGGGGGGGUAACGGCCCACCAAGGAGAUGAUCAGUAGCCUGUCUGAGAGGGUGAACGGGCAAAUUGGGACUGAGACACGGCCCCGACUCCUACGGGGGGCAGCAGUGGGGAAUCUUCCGCAAUGGACGAAAGUCUGACGGAGCAACGCCGCGUUAGUGAUGACGGCCUUCGGGUUGUAAAGCUCUGUUAAUCGGGACGCGGUACCGGAAUAGAAAGCCACGGCUAACUACGUGCCAGCCGCCGCGGUAAUUC
rnacentral:rRNA from 1 species